CUUUCAAUCAGUAAUUGCUCUGCUUUGGCAUCACUUCCUGAUUCAAUGGGGAGCCUGACAUCAUUGCAAAGACUUUCAAUCAUUACUUGCUCUGCUUUGGCAUCACUUCCUGAUUCAAUGGGGAGCCUGAAAUCAUUACAAGACUUUCAAUCAUUGAUUGCUCUGCUUUGGCAUCACUUCCUGAUUCAAUGGGGAGCCUGACAUCAUUGCAAGAACUUUUCAUCUAUAGUUGCUCUGCUUUGGCAUCACUUCCUGAUUCAAUGGGGAGCCUGACAUCAUUGCAAAGACUUUCAAUCAGUAAUUGCUCUGCUUUGGCAUCACUUCCUGAUUCAAUGGGGAGCCUGACAUCAUUGCAAAGACUUUCAAUCAUAAUUGCUCUGCUUUGGCAUCACUUCCUGAUUCAAUGGGGAGCCUGACAUCAUUGCAAGAACUUUCAAUCAGUGAUUGCUCUGCUUUGGCAUCACUUCCUGAUUCAAUGGGGAGCCCGACAUCAUUGCAAAGACUUUCAAUCAGUAAUUGCUCUGCUUUGGCAUCACUUCCUGAUUCAAUGGGGAGCCUGACAUCAUUGCAAGAACUUUCAAUCAGUGAUUGCUCUGCUUUGGCAUCACUUCCUGAUUCAAUGGGGAGCCCGACAUCAUUGCAAAGACUUUCAAUCAGUAAUUGCUCUGCUUUGGCAUCACUUCCUGAUUCAAUGGGGAGCCUGACAUCAUUGCGAGAACUUUUCAUCUAUAGUUGCUCUGCUUUGGCAUCACUUCCUGAUUCAAUGGGGAGCCUGACAUCAUUGCAAGACUUUCAAUCAGUAAUUGCUCUGCUUUGGCAUCACUUCCUGAUUCAAUAGGGAGCCUGAAAUCAUUACAAGCAUUGAAAAUCAUAUGAUGCUCUUCUUUGAUGAAAAGAUAUGGACGCAAAUUAGAGAGGGCAAAUUGGCCAAGAAUUUCUCACAUCCCAAGCGUUAUUAUAUACGAUAAUUAAAGAUUCAGAUUCUUUAUCUUCCAUUCAAGGCAACUCAAGUCUAUCUGUUUUUGUUUGUGACAUUUCUAUGUUACAUCUUUAAGAGAAGAUGCGCCCCCACUUCUGCUGCUUCUUGUCGGUGGCCACUUUCUAAUGAAAUUGCGUAUGGCAAGUGGAUUGUUCUUUUGCUGGAGGAUCUGCUUCCAAGUUGAGGCUUGAAUUGUUCUUCUUGUUCGUGCCUUUUGCUUUCCUGGUUGUUUCCUUAUAGACUCUGUUUGCUGCAUCUUUCAAUGAAGAUCUUUUGCUCGGAAAAAAAAAAAAAAACUGCUUCCCUUCCAAUCAAUUUUGCUUUUUACGAGUUGAACUUCUCGAAGCUCCGACAAAUCACUAUAGAUGGAAGCAUGAACUGAGGAAAAUUUUUUCAGUUCUGUCUGCAUAUACUCUGAUUAAGGAGAAGACCAUGGCUUCUUAAAAUUCUUCAUAAAUACAAGGAAUGAGAAAGACAAGUACAUAAUUUUAAGAUGUGGUAAAGGCGAAGUGAUAUUGAAGGAAGCACUAAUUGCUGCACUUCUUUUGCCUCUUGCGUGUGCCUUGAUUUCUUUGAGGAUGUUGGUCGCUGCUUUUUAGAGGCCAACUUCCACUUUCUGUGUAUUUUGAAAACAAAGUCCCAUUUAACAUUCAGCUAUUUUAGUCAAUUGAUUAUUCUUGAGCAUUAGGUCUUUAAAGUCAUUGUCGAAGUUUUUUGAAGUCACAGCAGUCCUCUUUUUGUCCUUUAGGAUGGGUUGAGCUGUAUAAUUCUCAAUAUGUUGAACAACCAUUUCUUUAUAAGGCUUGUCAAAGGGAGGUGAAACUGACACCCUUUAAACUUGAUUUGUUGUUUCCAUAACCUACAUAUAUUAUCAUUUUUCAUAGUAUAUACCACUUUGGUUUCAGAAUAAAAGUGAAUUAGCAGAAAUACAAAUCAGUUAUUUAAAUUGUAUGAGAAAUAUUGGGAAGAAAUUAGUGGGGGAGAGUUUAAGAUACAUCCUUUUGUUCGCUAAAAGCUACAAGCUUUUUGCUUGUAGGAUUGUUCUGUGAUUCUGUCCACUCUUGUACUUGAAGCAGAGAAAUUACUUUUAGGCCAUCGUUUAAUUUCAAGAAAUAUUGUAUUUUUCUGUAUCUUGUACAAAAGUCUUCAUCAUCAAAACUAUACAAGACAUCGGUAAAAAUAGAAGCAUGCCAAGUUUUCGUAUUUAUCGGAAACAAAAAAACUUGCUCAACCCAAAAUGUCAUCUACGCUAAGUAGGCUUGCACUUUCGGGAGGCAGCUGUACAACCUGCAAAUUCUCAGUGUUUAAUGUAAGCCAUAGGAGGCUGCAUCACAUAUUUUAAACAACGUAAAGCAAAACUAAGUUAUGGCCAAAGCACCGGAGUAAACAGUAACUUAACCUAUAUUUUACUGUCGUAAAUGUCAAGUGCUUCAAUCUUUAAUUCGCACUAGGUUGUCAAGUGCUGCUGCUAUUAUAUUUCAUUUAACAUAAGCUAAGGCACAAGACUUGGGUAAAACAUAUCCAUGUCUCAGCAAGUCAUGGAAAAAUUUGAUAGCAAACACUUGUUUCUGUGUUUUCU